GACGAACGCUGGCGGCGUGCCUAACACAUGCAAGUCGAACGAAGUGGCGAACGGGUGAGUAACGUGUAAUCAACCCGCCCUUCAGAGGGGGACAACAGUUGGAAACGACUGCUAAUACCGCAUACUGAAGGAGGGGAUUGCGUGGGAUUAGCUAGUCGGCGGGGUAAAGGCCUACCAAGGCGACGAUCCGUAACUGGUCUGAGAGGAUGAUCAGUCACACUGGAACUGAGACACGGUCCAGACUCCUACGGGAGGCAGCAGUGGGGAAUAUUGGACAAUGGGCGAAAGCCUGAUGCAGCCAUGCCGCGUGUGUGAAGAAGGGCUUCGGAUUGUAAAGCACUUUAAGUUGGGAGGCGUUACCCGCAGAAGAAGCACCGGCUAACUCCGUGCCAGCCGCCGCGGUAAUAC
rnacentral:rRNA from 1 species